GCCAGAAAUUCAAAUUUGUCAUUAGCUAAUAGUUUAGAAAUGAAUUCACAGCAAAGGAUUUGAAACAAUGUUUCUCAUUUGAGGCAAUGUUGAUAUCAAAAUUCAAAACACUGGAAUUGCUUGUAAGCAAUUUGAAGAGAAAAGUCCAUGCUAUUCAGUAUCAUACAUAGCUGCAAAAAGAAGGUAAAAGCAUAUAUAGCAAUGAAUUAGAAUAGCCGUCCAACUUAUGCUCAUACUAUCUGUGUUAUGCAACUUCUGCUCAUACUAUCUGUGUUACUCUACAGGAAAAUGCAGGAGACGGUGUUCCUCUAACAAUGUUGCAGAUUGCUAACCUGGUGUAUAAUACUUUGCAAACUUCUCUAUGAAUCUUUGAGUUCUAGAUUUGUUGUUCUGCGCCUCUUCUACAAGCUUUGUCAUUCUUGCCACCACGCAAUCUUC
rnacentral:lncRNA from 1 species